rnacentral:misc_RNA from 1 species
GAUGAAGAACGCAGCGAAAUGCGAUAAGUAAUGUGAAUUGCAGAAUUCAGUGAAUCAUCGAAUCUUUGAACGCACCUUGCGCCCUUUGGCCAUUCCGAAGGGCAUGCCUGUUUGAGUAUCAUGAACACCUCAACUCUUUAUGGUUUUCCAUGAUGAGCUUGGACUCUGGGGGUUUUGCUGGCUCACAGUCGGCUCCUCUAAAAUGAAUCAGCUUACCAGUGUUUGGUGGGUUUCAUGGGUGUGAUAACUAUCUACGCUUGUGGUUUUUCCACCAGGUAACCUUCAGCAGUGGAGGUUCGCUGGAGCUCAUAGAUGUCUCUCCUCAGUGAGGACAGCCCUUUGAAUGUUUGAUCUCAAAUCAGGUAGGACUACCCGCUGAACUUAAGCAUAUCAAUAAGCGGAGGA